UCAUUUCAAAUUUAAAACGAGGGUCUUUUGUUAUACCAGACCUGCUUUUGUUAUAAAUGACUGGCUCUGUUCCAUAUAUUGAUUUUAUACAUAGCAUUGCCAUAACUUCAUUGAAAAACAGUGUUUAAAAAGCAAAUUGGAUAUUAGAAACGGAAAUGGCUGACCAACAGGAUAUUAAAGUAGCUUUGAUAGUAGGGACAGCUCCGCUGUGGGUGCCGGUAGCCGCCGCAGGUGGCCUUGUUUAUGGUGUAGGAAAAGGCAUCAUGUCUGCAGAAGACUUCGAGAAGAAGAAUGGCUCAUUUGGUUCAGUAGCUUGGCCAUUCAUUGUUGGUUACAACAUUAUAUCUGGUCCAUUGAAGGGAAUCAAGAAAGUGGGCGAUGUGUUGAUAGGGAAUUAAUGGCAAAAAGUGAACUAUGUAUUAUCUAGUGGAAUGGCUUUUAUGAAGAUCAGUCAAUCCAUUACUACAAAAUAACAUUUUUCUUUAUCUCUACCUGAUCCUUUUCAAUUAAUUUUCACAUUAAGUUUUCUUUAAUUCAUCACAGUUUUAUCAGUGCAUAUAUACUAAGGUAUCUGUCGUCUGCUAGCGCUUCAUUUCUUUUAGAAUUUUUUUUAUUAUUAUACACAAAUUGAAUUGCACAGUGGAAUUUGCAUUUGAUAUCAAAUAAAUUUCGCCUUUAUGAAUAACAUUAUGAUAACCAGACAAGAAUACAUAAACAUUUAAAUGAAGACCAAAGGAAAGCUUUUGAAGUGUUGAUUCUAUCCCAUUGAAGAUAUUAUGUAAACAUGUCCUAAUCAAUGUGCAAGUGGCAUUGAUACGAAAAUUAUGGGUAUGUUAGUUCUCGGUGUCAAAAUUUCCACCGGGUGGUAAUAUCGUCGGAUUUUUGCAUGGAAUUUUUCUAUCAAAACUGACUAUGACAGAUCCUUAUUUACACGUAAAUUACCCCAGAAAAUACACCAAGAACGGACAUACCUAUAAUUUUCAUACCCGGAUGUUGCAUACCUUGUCUUUAGCAAUAUAACAGUAUUUGUUUUUAUUUUAUAAUUAUUUUUUAAUAUAUGGAUUUUUUAUUGCAUUAAUAACAAGGUUAACACUUUUUAGGUCAAAUCAAUGCCACUAGCACCUUUGCUUUGAUAUUGUUAAAUAUGAAUAUGACGGUCUACAUCUUAUUACAUAUGUUCCAAACAUUACAUGUUGCUCUUGUUUGUUUCUAUAUUUAAUUUACACUUCACGUUGCACUACCAAUUUCUACGUCAGAAAUAAUGAAUUAUACAAUGUGUUACUUUUCCGAAUCAUUUCUACAGAAAUCAAAAACAGGUUGAAAUGCAUAAUUUAUUCGUACUAUUUACAUUUCCACGCCAAAUAUUUUAAAUUUACUUGUCCAUUGUUCAAACAGUACAAAACUGUUCAUCUUUUUUUAAAAGAAAAUUUCAAAAUAUGUAGCGGUUGCUUGAAUAACGAUAAGCUGAAGUACAGACCAUAACAAGACGGCGCGGAUGUACCAGCUGAUUUUGGUCUGCAAUAGUUGCUUGUGUAGAUGCAUUUGCCACCAGUAGACUAAGCAUUAAACAUUCACAAAUAUAUUGUAAAUUAUUUUUUACUGAUUUACAAUUCUCCCUAACAAUAUUCAUAACAUUUCAUUUUUUGCUGUUUUUCUGUCAAGUUGAUAAAGUGUUAGUGAUGCUACUGAAAUAAACAUUUAUGUAAGAUUU